GCAAUUUCUAAAUACAAGCAUUCAUUUAGUCCAUCAACAAACACUUGUAUAUGAAUAUAUAUAGCUAUAACUUCUGCUUGCAAGACACUUAUAAGCCACACAGAAAAAUCUAAGGAAACUUAUUGUGUGCUACAAUUAAGGAUGGUCCAGAGGAAAGAGACUCUACCCCUCCCUGGGGGAGUGGAACAUGGUUUCACAGACUGGAAGGGACAUUUGAGCUAUAGGAUGAGAAACAGUUUGCCCAGGACACAAGGGUGGAUGGGAUUGUAUUAGUCAGGAUGGGUGAGAGUAUGCUGUAGUAACAAACAAACCUCUAAUCACAGCGGCUUAAUGCAACAAAGCCUUACUUUUUGCUCUUGUUACACAUUAUAGCCUUCUUGUUAAAUGAGCAGCCCCUCGUGAAAGAGGGAAAACAGCCAGAAGGAACAAACGAAAUCAAGCAUGCAGCUGUUACACUCUGUGCUAAAACCCCCCAAUGGAUCAAGGUGGCCCAGCUGGAUAGAAUGGUUUGUUUGGAGGGAAAAGACCAAGAGCAUGGGACCAAGAACGCUUCAUAAGCUGAAGGUGCUGAAAGAGUCAAUUCUUGGAGGAAUCUUCCAAUGGGAAACGGAAUUUCGCUGUUGCUCCAGAAAGUGAAAUUUACAGCUGACAAGAGGAAAGGACAGGGAACUCUAUUCCAGUAUGACAUAGGAAAGAAUUUGGUAGCAAUUAGAACAAGCCAAUAAUGGAGGGGGCUGUCUUGGCAGGUACUGAGAUCUCUGACACUUACAGGAUUGAAAAAGAGGCUAGUGAAGCAUCUGACUUGCUAUAGAAGGGAUUUCUGUCUUAGGAAGUUGGACUAAGUUAUUUUAAAUUCUGUUUCUUAACUGUAUUUUUGUUUUGUUUUAUUUUGUUUGGUUGAGAUGGAGUCUUGCUCUGUUACCCAGGCUGGAGUGCAGUGGCACAAUCUCGGCUCACUGUAGCCUCCACGUCCUGGGUUCAAGUGAUUCUCCUGCCUCAACCUCCCAAGUAGCUGAACUACAGGUGCACGCCACCAUGCCCAGGUAAUUUUUGCAUUUUUGGUAGAGACAGGGUUUCACCAUGUUGGCCAGGCUGGUCUU
rnacentral:lncRNA from 1 species